AUUGAACGCUGGCGGCAUGCCUUACACAUGCAAGUCGAACGGCAGCACGGGUGCUUGCACCUGUUGGCGAGUGGCGAACGGGUGAGUAAUACAUCGGAACAUGUCCUGUAGUGGGGGAUAGCCCGGCGAAAGCCGGAUUAAUACCGCAUACGAUCUACGGAUGAAAGCGGGGGACCUUCGGGCCUCGCGCUAUAGGGUUGGCCGAUGGCUGAUUAGCUAGUUGGUGGGGUGAAGGCCUACCAAGGCGACGAUCAGUAGCUGGUCUGAGAGGACGACCAGCCACACUGGGACUGAGACACGGCCCAGACUCCUACGGGAGGCAGCAGUGGGGAAUUUUGGACAAUGGGCGAAAGCCUGAUCCAGCAAUGCCGCGUGUGUGAAGAAGGCCUUCGGGUUGUAAAGCACUUUUGUCCGGAAAGAAAUCCUUGGCCCUAAUACGGUCGGGGGAUGACGGUACCGGAAGAAUAAGCACCGGCUAACUACGUG
rnacentral:rRNA from 1 species